GGUUAAGCGACUAAGCGUACACGGUGGAUGCCCUGGCAGUCAGAGGCGAUGAAGGACGUGCUAAUCUGCGAUAAGCGUCGGUAAGGUGAUAUGAACCGUUAUAACCGGCGAUUUCCGAAUGGGGAAACCCAGUGUGUUUCGACACACUAUCAUUAACUGAAUCCAUAGGUUAAUGAGGCGAACCGGGGGAACUGAAACAUCUAAGUACCCCGAGGAAAAGAAAUCAACCGAGAUUCCCCCAGUAGCGGCGAGCGAACGGGGAGGAGCCCAGAGCCUGAAUCAGUGUGUGUGUUAGUGGAAGCGUCUGGAAAGGCGCGCGAUACAGGGUGACAGCCCCGUACACAAAAAUGCACAUACUGUGAGCUCGAUGAGUAGGGCGGGACACGUGGUAUCCUGUCUGAAUAUGGGGGGACCAUCCUCCAAGGCUAAAUACUCCUGACUGACCGAUAGUGAACCAGUACCGUGAGGGAAAGGCGAAAAGAACCCCGGCGAGGGGAGUGAAAAAGAACCUGAAACCGUGUACGUACAAGCAGUGGGAGCCUCUUUUAUGGGGUGACUGCGUACCUUUUGUAUAAUGGGUCAGCGACUUAUAUUCUGUAGCAAGGUUAACCGAAUAGGGGAGCCGAAGGGAAACCGAGUCUUAACCGGGCGUUAAGUUGCAGGGUAUAGACCCGAAACCCGGUGAUCUAGCCAUGGGCAGGUUGAAGGUUGGGUAACACUAACUGGAGGACCGAACCGACUAAUGUUGAAAAAUUAGCGGAUGACUUGUGGCUGGGGGUGAAAGGCCAAUCAAACCGGGAGAUAGCUGGUUCUCCCCGAAAGCUAUUUAGGUAGCGCCUCGUGAAUUCAUCUCCGGGGGUAGAGCACUGUUUCGGCAAGGGGGUCAUCCCGACUUACCAACCCGAUGCAAACUGCGAAUACCGGAGAAUGUUAUCACGGGAGACACACGGCGGGUGCUAACGUCCGUCGUGAAGAGGGAAACAACCCAGACCGCCAGCUAAGGUCCCAAAGUCAUGGUUAAGUGGGAAACGAUGUGGGAAGGCCCAGACAGCCAGGAUGUUGGCUUAGAAGCAGCCAUCAUUUAAAGAAAGCGUAAUAGCUCACUGGUCGAGUCGGCCUGCGCGGAAGAUGUAACGGGGCUAAACCAUGCACCGAAGCUGCGGCAGCGACACUGUGUGUUGUUGGGUAGGGGAGCGUUCUGUAAGCCUGUGAAGGUGUACUGUGAGGUAUGCUGGAGGUAUCAGAAGUGCGAAUGCUGACAUAAGUAACGAUAAAGCGGGUGAAAAGCCCGCUCGCCGGAAGACCAAGGGUUCCUGUCCAACGUUAAUCGGGGCAGGGUGAGUCGACCCCUAAGGCGAGGCCGAAAGGCGUAGUCGAUGGGAAACAGGUUAAUAUUCCUGUACUUGGUGUUACUGCGAAGGGGGGACGGAGAAGGCUAUGUUGGCCGGGCGACGGUUGUCCCGGUUUAAGCGUGUAGGCUGGUUUUCCAGGCAAAUCCGGAAAAUCAAGGCUGAGGCGUGAUGACGAGGCACUACGGUGCUGAAGCAACAAAUGCCCUGCUUCCAGGAAAAGCCUCUAAGCAUCAGGUAACAUCAAAUCGUACCCCAAACCGACACAGGUGGUCAGGUAGAGAAUACCAAGGCGCUUGAGAGAACUCGGGUGAAGGAACUAGGCAAAAUGGUGCCGUAACUUCGGGAGAAGGCACGCUGAUAUGUAGGUGAAGUCCCUCGCGGAUGGAGCUGAAAUCAGUCGAAGAUACCAGCUGGCUGCAACUGUUUAUUAAAAACACAGCACUGUGCAAACACGAAAGUGGACGUAUACGGUGUGACGCCUGCCCGGUGCCGGAAGGUUAAUUGAUGGGGUCAGCGCAAGCGAAGCUCUUGAUCGAAGCCCCGGUAAACGGCGGCCGUAACUAUAACGGUCCUAAGGUAGCGAAAUUCCUUGUCGGGUAAGUUCCGACCUGCACGAAUGGCGUAAUGAUGGCCAGGCUGUCUCCACCCGAGACUCAGUGAAAUUGAACUCGCUGUGAAGAUGCAGUGUACCCGCGGCAAGACGGAAAGACCCCGUGAACCUUUACUAUAGCUUGACACUGAACAUUGAGCCUUGAUGUGUAGGAUAGGUGGGAGGCUUUGAAGUGUGGACGCCAGUCUGCAUGGAGCCGACCUUGAAAUACCACCCUUUAAUGUUUGAUGUUCUAACGUGGACCCGUGAUCCGGGUUGCGGACAGUGUCUGGUGGGUAGUUUGACUGGGGCGGUCUCCUCCUAAAGAGUAACGGAGGAGCACGAAGGUUGGCUAAUCCUGGUCGGACAUCAGGAGGUUAGUGCAAUGGCAUAAGCCAGCUUGACUGCGAGCGUGACGGCGCGAGCAGGUGCGAAAGCAGGUCAUAGUGAUCCGGUGGUUCUGAAUGGAAGGGCCAUCGCUCAACGGAUAAAAGGUACUCCGGGGAUAACAGGCUGAUACCGCCCAAGAGUUCAUAUCGACGGCGGUGUUUGGCACCUCGAUGUCGGCUCAUCACAUCCUGGGGCUGAAGUAGGUCCCAAGGGUAUGGCUGUUCGCCAUUUAAAGUGGUACGCGAGCUGGGUUUAGAACGUCGUGAGACAGUUCGGUCCCUAUCUGCCGUGGGCGCUGGAGAACUGAGGGGGGCUGCUCCUAGUACGAGAGGACCGGAGUGGACGCAUCACUGGUGUUCGGGUUGUCAUGCCAAUGGCACUGCCCGGUAGCUAAAUGCGGAAGAGAUAAGUGCUGAAAGCAUCUAAGCACGAAACUUGCCCCGAGAUGAGUUCUCCCUGACCCUUUAAGGGUCCUGAAGGAACGUUGAAGACGACGACGUUGAUAGGCCGGGUGUGUAAGCGCAGCGAUGCGUUGAGCUAACCGGUACUAAUGAACCGUGAGGCUUAACCUU
rnacentral:rRNA from 2 species